ensembl:lncRNA
CGGGUUUUGUGUUUUACCCUCCGAUACACCGUUUCCUGCCAUUGUGUGUCACAGACACAGACGGCCCCUGGCCUCCUUACAGAGGGUCCCUCCCACCUCCAGCCCCUCACACACACACACACACACACACACACACACACACACACACACACACACACAUACAUACACAGGGCUCAUUUCUUCCUCCACUCACUCAGACUCUGAGGGAUUGUAAAGUUGCAGAGACAAACAGAGAGAGCCGGACUCAGUCCAUUCCCUCGUUCACUUUCUGUCUAUAUCUGCUGGAUGCUGUCUGUGUCUCUCUCUCUCUCUCUCUCUCUCUCUCUCUCUCUCUCUCUCUCUAUCCUGGACGCUGUCUCGAUCUCUCGGAUUAGGACGUGGAAUAUGAACCCUGGACUCUGAGACCCUGUGGGAGUACACCCUCUGAGCUGAAUAAAGAUCUGCCUGUACAGCGCUUCAGCUCCAAAUUCCCACUUGGAAAGUUGGAGCUGUUUGAGAGCUCUGAUUUCUCUGAGCGUAACAUGUGAAAAGGAAGAAGAAGACGAAAUAACAGACAGACAAGGAGACGACACAGCACCUGAAUUCACCUUUAUUUCUGAGUUCAGAUGCCUGAGUUUGCCGCAAUGCUCUAAUGUGGGAAGUAGGAGGGCCCGAGUUGGAAAAUUCUGAGAUCUCAGUUGUUGUGAAUGCAGCAUAGCUCCUUAGCCCCGCCUCUUUUCCUUAAAAUUGUAUAGUUGAUGUAGACACAGUUUUCACCUUUUAAAAAAGUCUUUUUUCCUUAAAAUGAUGUACAACAAGCAAAUAAAGGAUACCCAUAAUGCCCUGCGGCACUUAAAGGCAACACACACACAGCUGAAUCAUCAAACUAUUUCCCCCAAUAUCACUGCUGAGGUUUCUCCAGUGUGAGGAAGUUUUCAUGGCCUCAAUGUGGAGAAAUUGAUGUCAGUGUUUCCUUGCGUGUAUUUAGUGUGUAUUUAGCCUGUGUUUAGUGUGUGUUUAGCAUGUGAUUAGCGUGUUGUUUAGUGUGUAUUUAGCAUGUAUUUAGAGGGUGUUUAGCUUGUGUUUUGCAUGUGUUUAGUGUGUAUUUAGCAUGUGAUUAGCGUGUGUUUAGUGUGUGUUUAACGUGUGUUUUAGUGUGUAUUUAGCAUGUGUUUAGUGUGUGUUUAGUGUGUAUUUAGCAUGUGAUUAGCGUGUGUUUAGUGUGUAUUUAGCAUGUGUUUAGCGUGUGUUUAGCGUGUAUUUAGCGUGUGUUUAGCGUGUGUUUAGUGUGUAUUUAGCAUGUGUUUAGCGUGUGUUUAGUGUGUAUUUAGCAUGUGUUUAGUGUGUGUGUCGUGUGUAUUUAGCGUGUGAUUAGCGUGUGUUUAGCGUGUGUUUAGCGUUUAGCGUGUUUAGCGUGUGAUUAGCGUGUGUUUAGCGUGUGAUUAGCGUGUGUUUAGCGUGUGUUUAGCGUGUGUUUAGCGUGUGUUUAGCGUGUGUUUAGCGUGUGUUUAACGUGUGUUUAGCGUGUGUUUAGUGUGCGUUUAGCGUGCGUUAGUGUGCGUUUAACGUGCGUUUAGCAUGCGUCCUAGGACUCAGCUCAUCACAGAUGCUGGUCAGGUCGUUACUUUGUGCUCUGUAGUUUCUAAUUUGUAGUUUAAUUUCACUUUGUGGUAUUAUUACCCUGCAUGUGUAAAGAGACGGAAUCUGAUGUGCGCUGUACUGCUCCUGAAUCCAGGUUUAGGAUUAGACCAGGAGAACAUGUUGUGUUCCAGCGGAACCUUAAGCAGAAGUUCCACCUCAUCAUGAUAACACACAGAUGAAUCGUACUGUUUGGAGUUUUAACUUUUUGAAUGUUUGUUGAGGUUUUUUUUUGCGUGUUUCGCCUUCUCUAACAUUCGAUGCGCAGCUCUUAACGUUGUUCUCGAGGAGUUUGAUGUAACGGUGAUGUUAAUGUCACUGUGCUGGUGUGAUCAUACGAUUGUUUUCAAAUCAUUUCCCACAGCACUGUUCAUGUGGAGAUGAUUCAAAACGAAAUAUCUGUACACGUGUGGACGAGGCCUCAGACACAUAGUAAGAGAAAAGUGGACACCAACUGAUGAUGUCAUCAAUGCCUAUGAUGUGAGAGUGACCUAAACAACCCAGCAACAAUCCCCCUAAUCCUGUAAUAUAAUAUAAUACAGACAGCUGCUUGAUAAUAGUUUUGGUUCUCUAUCACCAGUCGUGACUCACGUGAACAACCUCCUGGUGCAGGCGCGAAUACAUCUUGCUCAAAGUUAAUUUGGUAGAAAUGAACACAAAUUGUUCUCUGAAAUGCUUUGUUAGCAUACGUCCUGUUUUUCAGACCUUAAAAAAGGGUCUAAAUUCGAGAAAAUGUCCGUGAUUCAGCUUUAGUUUCAUUAUGAUGUGUUUAUGGUCUGAUACUGCAUCAUGUGUGCGCAUGAUUGCAUCACUUUCACCCCUCUCUGUAAGCCCCGCCUCCUCGCACACACAAAAGAAUGAAGGAAAAAAACGUAAAACGUAGGCGGAGUGAAACCAAUUUUACUUACAAAUAUUUAUGUGAUGCUAAUAGUGUGUCUUUUUUACUGUAUUAAAGUCUGCAUUUAUAGUAACACUGUUCCGAACGCUAUUAAGACCCCCCC